AUGGCGCUGGGAGAACAACCCAGGAUUGGAGCUCGCAUCGAAUCCGCAAACGAGAAAUGCUCUCAGCACCACACUGCUGCUAUGGGAUAUGGCGGAGCAAUGGCAUUGGCAAUUCAAGACUGUUUUCUACCUUGUCAGUACCUCUUCAGUGACAUGAAGUUAAAGCCAGCUUCUGCAAAGCCAGAAGAGAGAAGCUCUACUGCAGUUUCUUCUGAGGAAGAGAGGAAAGGUAUCCCAGAAAAUGAGAGAUAGAUUCUAGUGGCUUAUCUUAAUCUUUUACAUCCUAGAGAAGUUAGAUUGUGAGAUUUGUGGCUUGGCUUAGAGCCUUCUAAUUUCCCCCAACUUCCCAGGGAAUUAUACUUAGUUACUCAUGCAGCUUUCAUCACUGUGUUGCUUAUGGCCCCUCAUUACCCAAGUGUACUGAUCCCUCUUAUCAAAAGCAGAAACUUCUCAAUUCUUAAUUUCCUUGUCUUGUUUGUUAUUGUACCUUCGGUUUGGCAAACUCCCCUAAAUAGUAAUUUGUAUAUAUUUUUUCUAGUUCUUAAUUUCUGAAUCAUAUCUCAACCAAUUUUAGCCUGCUUUCUGUAUAUAUAAUUAUAUAAUUAUUUUUUCAAAUGUUAUUAAUGAUUCUUUAAUUGUCAAAUUCAAUGGUCAUGCCUCAGCCUUUCUCUGAUUGGCUUUUUUACCUUCAUUUGACGUUUUCCCACUCCAUUAUCAAAAUCAUCCUUCCUUGAUGACAUUCACAUAUUUCCCAAAUCAUUUUCUCUUAUUUCAUGAGCUUCCCAAAUAUUUAUGAUAUUUAUGUCAUUUACUAUCAUUUUAUAUGCAAUUGAUUCUAGAAAUAUUGCUCUAUGCAAAAUUUCUUUCCUCAAUUCCAGAUCAAUAUUUACGUGUCCACUGGACAUUUUGCCUGAAUAUACAUAGGAACCACAAAUGGAAUAUUCAGAACUCAUUAACUUUCAAACCAAAAUGCUCAUUUGUAUUCUGGAUCUCACUGA
rnacentral:lncRNA from 13 species